UACGAGGGGGGCUAGCGUUGCUCGGAAUGACUGGGCGUAAAGGGCGCGUAGGCGGUUUGGUUCGUUAGGCGUGAAAUUCCUGGGCUCAACCUGGGGACUGCGUUUAAUACAGCCAGACUUGAGUGUGGAAGAGGGUCGUGGAAUUCCCAGUGUAGAGGUGAAAUUCGUAGAUAUUGGGAAGAACACCGGUGGCGAAGGCGGCGACCUGGUCCAUUACUGACGCUGAGGCGCGAAAGCGUGGGGAGCAAACAGG
rnacentral:rRNA from 1 species